rnacentral:rRNA from 1 species
UACGUAGGGGGCAAGCGUUGUCCGGAUUUAUUGGGCGUAAAGAGCGUGUAGGCGGCCAGACAGGUCCGUUGUGAAAACUCGAGGCUCAACCUCGAGACGUCGACGGAAACCGUCUGGCUAGAGUCCGGAAGAGGAGUGUGGAAUUCCUGGUGUAGCGGUGAAAUGCGCAGAUAUCAGGAAGAACACCUAUGGCGAAGGCAGCACUCUGGGACGGUACUGACGCUAAGGCGCGAAAGCGUGGGGAGCGAACAGG